UACAGGGGGGGCAAGCGUUGUUCGGAAUUACUGGGCGUAAAGGGCUCGUAGGCGGCCAACUAAGUCCGACGUGAAAUCCCACAGCUCAACUGUGGAACAGCAGGGCAAACUGGCGAGCUUGAGGCAGGUAGGGGCCGGAAGAACAGUUGGUGGAGCGGUGAAAUGCGUAGAUAUCAACUGGAAUGCCGAUGGGGAAGCCGUCCGGCUGGGCCUGUCCUGACACUGAGGCACGAAAGCGUGGGGAGCAAACAGG
rnacentral:rRNA from 1 species